rfam:Oryza sativa (indica cultivar-group) chromosome 11, whole genome shotgun sequence.
AAUACUUGUCGCUUUGAGUUUUUGUUUGUAAUUUUUGAUCGUUUGUCUUAUUAAAAAAGUAUGGAAUUAUUAUUUAUUUUGUUUGUAACUUGCUUUAUUAUCAAAAGUACUUUAAGUAUGACUUAUUCGCUUUUAUAUUUGCACUAAUUUUUUAAAUAAGACGAAUGGUCAAAUAUUGCAAGAGAAAAGUCAAAACGACCACUAAU